rnacentral:lncRNA from 1 species
AGACAGAGACAGAGAGAGACAGAGAGAGAGACAGAGAGAGACAAACACUCAACAACAGGGUGCAAAUUAAAAGUGGAAGCUGCUGUGAAGAUUUGGAGGAAGUUCUUCACACACACACACACACACACACACACACACACACACACACACACACACACACACACACACACACUCCUCAUGGUGAAGUAGCUAACAGCAUUUUGUGAAAGAGGUGUAAGAGGAGGAGGAGAGAGGAGGAGGAGGAGAGAGGAGGAGAGAGGAGAGAGGAGGAGAGAGGAGAGAGGAGAGAGGAGGAGAGAGGAGCGAGGAGAGAGGAGGAGGAGGAGAGAGGAGGAGGAGGAGACAGGAGAGAGGAGGAAAGAGGAGAGGAGCAUUGAGAAAGUUAUCCCCUCCGGAAGAAGAAGAAGUUUCCUCUGACGUCAUUGACUAGGAAACAGCGGUGAAUCAACCAGUGUGCCCAGUGUAGCAGCAGUAUCACACUCAUAGGUACACUAACAGCUCUGUGAAGGAAUUUCACUUGAGGGAAAAAGAAGCUCUGUUGCCAUGGUGAUGUUCCCUAGAUAAAAAAAAAUGAGCAUCCA